rnacentral:rRNA from 1 species
UACGUAGGGGGCAAGCGUUGUCCGGAAUCAUUGGGCGUAAAGAGCGUGUAGGCGGCUUGGUAAGUCCGCUGUGAAAGCCAGGGCUCAACCCUGGAAUGCCGGUGGAAACUGUCAAGCUUGAGUCCGGAAGAGGCGGAGUGGAAUUCCUGGUGUAGCGGUGAAAUGCGCAGAUAUCAGGAGGAACACCAAUGGCGAAGGCAGCUCGCUGGGACGGUACUGACGCUGGAGGAGCGAAAGCGUGGGGAGCGAACAGG